rnacentral:rRNA from 1 species
CAAGACAACUUUACGGAGUUGACGAUUGACGGAGCGAAGCGACGUCAAAGCGUUCAUUAAAGUCGAGUUGGCUUAGGGAUACGUUCGUUGGGUAGGGGAGCGUUCUGUAAGCCUGUGAAGGUGUGUCGUGAGGCAUGCUGGAGGUAUCAGAAGUGCGAAUGCUGACAUAAGUAACGAUAAAGCGGGUGAAAAGCCCGCUCGCCGGAAGACCAAGGGUUCCUGUCCAACGUUAAUCGGGGCAGGGUGAGUCGACCCCUAAGGCGAGGCCGAAAGGCGUAGUCGAUGGGAAACGGGUUAAUAUUCCCGUACUUGGUGUUACUGCGAAGGGGGGACGGAGAAGGCUAUGUUGGCCGGGCGACGGUUGUCCCGGUUUAAGCGUGUAGGUGUGUGUUCCAGGUAAAUCCGGUUCACUUUAACACUGAGGCGUGACGACGAGGCACUACGGUGCUGAAGCAACAAAUGCCCUGCUUCCAGGAAAAGCCUCUAAGCAUCAGGUAACACGAAAUCGUACCCCAAACCGACACAGGUGGUCAGGUAGAGAAUACCAAGGCGCUUGAGAGAACUCGGGUGAAGGAACUAGGCAAAAUGGUGCCGUAACUUCGGGAGAAGGCACGCUGACACGUAGGUG